rnacentral:lncRNA from 1 species
CCUGAGACCUGGCGCCGGGCGCUUUGAGGCCCGGCUUACUCCCUUGCUGGCUCAUCCCACUGAAGAGCUAUGGCACUUCCAAUUCCUGAGCCUUUGUGAGGUUCUGCGUGUCAGUAAGCUUGCUUCCGGGCAUCACCUCCGAAAACACUUGGGUUUCAGUUUUCUCUGUGAGGCUUCUUAAGGAGUGGAGGAAAGUGGAUGUUUUCAAGAUAACGCAGCUAACAUUCAAAGAGGUUAAGUGAAUUGUCCAAAGUCACACAGCAAGCACUGGAGGCUGGAGUGCAAUGGUGUGAUCUCAGCUCACUGCAACCUCUGCCUCUCAGAUUCAAGUGAUUCUCCUGCCUCAGCCUCCCAAGUUGCUGAGAUUACAGGUGCGCGCCACCACACUUGGCUAAUUUUUUUAUUUUUAGUAGAGACAGGGUUUUGCCAUGUUGGCCAAGCUGGCCUUGGACUCCUGACCUCAGGUGAUCUACCCACCUUGGCCUCCCAAAGUUCUGGGAUUACAUGCGUGAGCCGCUGUGCCCAGCCCAACAAUUAUUCUUAUAGCUAAAGAUACACAUUGUUUGUAGAGAAACCGAGUUUUCUGUUACUUCACUUGAAUAUAAGGGGAUUAAAUAUCUUUUUGUAGUCGGAAAA